UGUACUCCUCGACCCUGAGAGAAGAAAGUCUGAUCUCAACCGGUAUAACUGCUUCGGUUCCGAAUGCAAGGUUGAAUGGAGUUUUUCCAGUCAGAAUCUUUUGAGUUGUUCGAUUUGCCCACAACACAUGAUAUAGCUCGUCCGUCCAAGACCCCCAGUCUGAUUAAGUCUAGCAUUUAGACCUUGUAAGAGAGUCCUAUUCAUCACUUCAGCCUCCCCAUUUGCUUGUGGAUAUCCAACUGAAGUGAAGCGUUGUUCAAUUUCAAGAUCUUCACAGAAUUCUCG
rnacentral:lncRNA from 1 species